AUCCAUAAGCCUUUUAUAAAGCCGGCUCCGGUGGGUCCCCUGGUUCUCUAUUUGCUUAAGGUGGUCCAAGUACGUAUCCAAUGAGAAUGCCCUACCAAAAGGAUAGAAGAGCACCCCCCUAAUCUGGUGCCUUUUCUCUAAAAUGGAACCUUCUUGAACCCUGUCCGAACGAAGGGCUUCCUCUAUCUUAAGCUCAGUUUGUAAUUGGGUCUCAAUUAUUGCCUCAGAAAUAUCUUCGGGCAAGGGACGCUUAACAGUAUUUAUGCUAAGACGAUCACUGAGCU
rnacentral:lncRNA from 1 species